CCGGCACGGGCAAGAUAAGCAGCGGCUAUCAAACCGUUGUGGCCUGCGCCGACGACGAGCGCGUCCCAUUUCUUAUCCUUCAGCACUGCGCGCGUUGCAUUGCCGCUGAAGCUUCGAUUCCACAUAGCUUCAACUCUCUUUCUUGAUCGGAUUAUGUAUGCGAGUGGAAGCAGUUCCAUGAAUUUCCUGAUUUUGGCGCCAAUCGCUUUCCUCCAUCAGGAUGGUUUGUCCUUUUCAACACUUUCAGGACAAUUGCUCUUUGGUUGUGAUGUGAGUGGAGAUGUUGAUUUCACAACAUAACUAUAUGUCUAUUGUCACAAUUUUGGUUUUAUAAAAAUAAUAAUUAGAAUUGGAAUUUUGGUGUAUAUAUUUAUAUACAGAUUUGAAUAAUUAUUUAUCUAAAUAUUCAAUAUAUUUUAUUCAUUUAAUUUUGUAAGUGAUUUUAAAAUGGUUAAACAAUUUAAAAUCACUUCCACUUAACCAA